CGAAAGGAAUAGAAAAUUGCAAUUUCAUAGAUCCCAUGAAAUUGAAAUCAUCAAGAGAAUUUAGCAACUAUCCAAAGUAAACAAACUGGCUCUCUCUCUCUGUGGACGAAAAUUUAUUAGCUUCAAGAUUAAUUCCUCGUCGGCGAGGAGAGACACGAUGUUAGGAACACCGCUUGUUCUUCGCGUACGCCUCGAGGCAAAUAAACGUUUGCGCUCGUUGCUCGAAGCUCGCCCGUAAACGACGACGCGGAUCCGUAAUAGUUUCUAAAGCGAGCAAGAUUUAUCGGGGAGUUUGCCAGUCGGUCCACCGGCGGCUGUUUAUAAUUGGAAUCGACCGGGAACACUACAGCGCGUAAAUAUCGAUUCUUUCGGCCACGAACAUCGUGUUCACCGCGUGUAUUUGAAAUAAAUACACAAAGCUCGAAUCAUUAACAAUAUGAGUAGUUAAUUUUUAAGCUUUCAAUUUGUUAGCUCUACAAUAUAAAGGAAUUUCUUCUACACAAUUUGGAGUGAAAAACUUAAUGAUGAAUUACGUCUAGACGCUUAUAAUGAUGAGGAAGAACACGCGUGGAUCAUAAAUAUGAUCGCGUGCACUUGAUCGAGAGGAACGCGUGUUAUCACGUCGCUACUUAAUCACCGGAGAGCGUGUUUACUCGCAUUACACACGCUCGCCUAAUCAAAGUGACCAGCUACAUCGUCGUUAUCACUGGUACUCCUCGUCUGGGUCAAGUUCGAGAUUUAUGAACGACAAGAACGAAGAUUCAUUGAUGUUAAUGCUUGCUUCCUUCUUAAUUAGAAGUACUCUUCAGUUUUUCCCUAUUACUUUUUUAAUUUACUGAUUAUUGAAAUUGAAGGGUUAAAUUUGGAAAUUAAAUUAUUAAUUUGAAAGCUUAAAUCUGAAAAUUAAGCGUACGAUCGUACGAAUUCGCUGAACUUUGUGAAGAGAGAAGAACCGGAAAAACACAACGUUACUCUGAACAGCGUAUUGUUUCAGGCAACGAAGAAACAAAAACAGAAAUCGCGAGAAAUCAGAAGCGGCUCACCAUGGAAACUUCAUUUCCUGAAAGCUCUCGGUAAAUAUUUGCCAGCCAGAAAGAGGUGUAUGUUGGGAUUCGAUUCGCCGGCAGAAAGAGUUUGUUCUCUGCGACCUCGUUACCGUAAGAUCUUCAAGGGUUUUCAAUGAAAAGCACGCUGUUGAGAUAAGAGCAAGGAAUGCGGCACGCUCGAGACAAUGAUAAAUUUUACUGUUAAAUGCGAUCCUGUUGCAUCGAUCACUCGGCAGUAACAUUAAUCAUUUGUUAUAUUUCCAGUCAUUUGACGGGCCUGACGUUUACGUGUGACGUGUGAGCGUUAAGGUACUUACGGUAUUUUUAAAAUUAUUGAAAUUUUCACUUUUUAGUUGGCCUUGAGAUCUUAACAGUUUGUUCAAUUUUAUUUGUUGAUUUUCUUAAAGCUUCUUUUCCAAGUUUCUUCUUCAUUGUUUCUCUUCUGGUUUUAGUUUCCACUUUGGUUCUUUGAUUUUUUAUCUUUUAAACUUCUCCAAAGGUACUUUUUAAUUAACUUCCCUUGAAUUAUACGAAACUCUUUAUUCUUCACUUCAAAACAUUUUCCAUUUUCUUCAACUGACUUAAAAACUACUCUCUUCAAACUUCCUUCAAUCUCUCACAAUCACAAAAUUCUUGAAACCUCUUCAAUGAACAGUCUGGAUCACUUCUAAUUUUCAAUAAUUACUCGAACCUUUCUCAACCACCAUAACUCAUCUAUUUCUCUGCUCUUUCAGGAUGAAUCACAAUACGGCGGGUGUUCUGUACUAGAAAUACUGGUAUUUCGACGCGUUGGCCAGGUGGAGCGGAACUAAGCUUGUGCCACCGAGGGAAUGCUGCGUUUCAAAGCGGAGAAGCAGUCCGAUGGUGAAGCAGAAGCGUCGCGACGCCACCUCUACCCGCUGGAUUUUUCCUCCGGUUUAUUUAUAAGCGCAUUAAUAUUCUCGCUUUCGUGUGGCUGAAUGGCAUUUCCUCAGCGCGAUCCGAUCGUCUCGAAACACCAGCUAAUGACGAAAGUCUCUCGAUUCUCGGCCUCGAUACGGCCGCCGCGGCCCGCUUCUACGUCACACGUGGGCGUGCUGGGAUCUCUUGCCGAGCGUAAUAUCCUAUGGAAACAUUCCUAUCUUUAGCAUUAUUUUAGGCUUCUUUAGUAUUCUUCUUUCGUCUUUGCUAAAUUAUAUUUACCAUUCGUUGCACUGCGAUAGGUAGGUACACUAAUCAACCCUGUUACCUAAUCAACGUUCCAUUAGACGAGAGAAGAAAAUUGAAGAACGACGAAUUAAAACUGUCUCGAGCUGUCUAGAACAUCUUCACGUCACAAACACAAUGCUUAAACAUUCUUCUCCUCGUUCAUUGUACGAUUUCUUUCAAGCUUCUUCAGCCAACGUGCCUCUUCUUUAUCAUGAAAAAUUUUUCUUUUCUUCUGUCCAUCGUCACAGCUGACCAGUGUCGGUGCGUUUCGUCGAAUGACGAGCCUAGUCUCAUCCCGGACUCGUUUCGGGACUCGAGGAGAGGAUGCUUCCCGGUAGAAGCUUAAAGUGGCCCAGCACGAGGGCUAGAGCUUUCAGAACGCGGAAAGCAACGCUUGAAAUUUCACCAGCCACGUCUCUUUGCGUUCCGACGUUCCGUUUCGAGCACCCUUCACCCAGACGAGACCGGUAAUUCGGUCGAGGAAUUCAACGAGACCCCUUUCCUCCGUUUCCCUUGCUCCGAUAAGCAAAUUUACGUAACGCAACAUCUGUUUCCGAGGAACACCUCGAUACCUCGUUAAUUAUGUUGUAACGAGGCAUUUAUUAACGCGUUAAUUGCCGGAAGGGUUGUUCGAGCAGUGAUCGAUGGCAGAGAAAAAAAUUAAGAAUUGCGAGAUUAAAAAUAGGUGUACAAAUUGUAUUGUAAUAGUUAUAGCAUCGCGUUUAUAAAUAGUUGCUUCUGUAUCUUUUAUAACUGAAAAAACUGAUACAUUUGGUGAUAUUUAUGAAACUUUGUCAGAAUAAUUUAUUGCGAGUCUGUGAAACGCAAAGUCUGCCAAGAAAAUGAUAGAUUCCUUUAAAGCAUGAAAGAAAAUUGACCGAUCAACUGUAUAUACUCGAGGAAGGGGAAAAAAGUUUCCUGACAAAGUAACGUAAAGUACACAGAGCUUAAUUCAUUCGUGGAAUUGUUUAUUUUCAGAGUUAAACACGCUUCAAACGAAAAGCUUACUCGAAAGUCGGGAUCACUUUGAAGCCUGCGAGGCAUCGACGUUUAUUUUCCAAAUGACAAAUUGCGCUUCGCGCACAAAACUUUGCGACACGCGUACACCUUGAACUUUCAACGAUGAAAUGUUACCGAACAGUGAUUUGAAAUCCUUUUGAAACGCGUCUAAAAAAAAAAUUUUCGUAUACCACUUGCCUGAUCGCAUUCGAACCCAUACUACUUACACCAGUCGCCUGACUGCGCAUUGAUCUAUACUACUUGCAAUAAUUAUUUCUUUCAUUUUCUUUGCAAAAAAAAUUUCUAUCGAAAAAUUAUCAUAUAUCAUGAUGAAUUAUUUUGAGAUUGAAAAGGUGGUUGAUCGGUCGGUCAUCUGUUUACAAUGGUCCGGUGGCAAGAGGUUGUUAAAAUAACUUCUACGAAACCCGUCGUAUAAAACGAAGAAAAAAAAAAAAAAAAAAGAAGAGAUAAAAGAGAAAAAAAUAGAAGCGUACGAAACUGGCGUCUAAGCUUAGAGCUUCUCGCAUCGCGUCACAAUUUGUGUACACAACGAAAGCUUUCGUGGAUCACUCUUCUGCAUCGAAAGACACACACUGUAUUUCGUUUCAAAACAUACAAACUUUCGCAAAAGUGAUUCUUCGCUUGAAAAUACGCCUUAAAAAAUAUAGUCAACUAUAUUGGAAGAUUUAUAAAAGCGUUUGUCACGAUACUGUUCAUCUUUCACCAUGUUUGAUUGUAUUGUUAAUAUCUAAUGUUUAUUUGAAUAGCUAUGUUUGAAGUUUGACGACAUAAAUAAUUAAAAUAUGGAACGCUUACCUUUUUGCUAGAUUUGAAAACGUUGCACUUGAAUGUGUUACUGCUUCCAUCGCGGGCAAUAUAGCUAAAAAUCUUUAAGUCGUGGCUAUCGUGGGAGACGUAGAAUAUCCUGUAACAAAUUCAUUAAAACAAAAUUCUUUCUCUCUUUCAAUUUAGUAAUUUAGAAUUAAUAGGUAGACAGAAAAUGAACAAAAGUUGCUGUUAAUUAAAGGAGCUACAGAAACUUGGUUCAAGAAAAAUCAUGGAGAAAAACGUUUCUAUGGAAGCAGAGUAUUUACCUGUAUAUGGGAUGGUGCAUCAGGUAUAUUUUAUUCUCGUCCAUCCACUGUUGCUGCUUCUUCUGCGCAAACACAGAAUAAAUGACUCAUUAAUCCAUGAUACGUAGGUUGCUACCAAGUAAGUGCAAUCAUAUGAUACCACGUCUCAAGUAACAUUAUAGUAUUUCACAAAUGAAACACAUAGGAAUGUUGAAAAAAAAAAAAAAAAAAAAAAACACGUUUUAAAUAUUUUGCGAAUGAAUUUGGAACGCUUUUCCAUCUCCGAAUGCGUUAUUUCUACUGAUUAAUAAUGGAUAACGAGUACCAAAUACAUAGUUGGGACAGGUGCAUACAUGUACGUCGGUGCAACAAGCCAAAAAGCCUGGCGCAAUAAAUCAGAGACUGAAAUCCCUGAGUAAUUGACGCGUUAACAUUGAAAUAUUAUGAACUCUUGAUUCGUCGAGACUGGUAUUUAGUAUCUCGUUGGAUUUCAAACAGAUUCACAGACAGAUAUUAAUUUUAUAGAAGAUGAAAAUACCAGCUUUCAUAGAAAGACUUGGUACUUAAUACAUUAUCUGAUACUUAGUAUCGUGUUUUACACUCGGUACUCAAUUCUCCGAUCCUCAAUUCCAUACUCGACGCUUUACAUCUAUAAUAGAAAUUGAAAAUAAUUACCCUAACCACUAGAAAAAUUACCUUCUUUUUUCGAAGGGUCACUUUCAAACCGUCCACCGACACCUCGAGGGUCACUUUCUUCUUUUUGAUCCCUUUCGCCUUGAACUCGUACUGAGGACAAAGUAAGACGACUAAAAUUAACGAAGAUCGCCCGGAGGGUGUAAUCGGUCGUAGUUAAUUAGAGAUUGUGUGAACUCACGCGGAUUCUUCGCAUCGCCGCCACGAUCUCCACUCGGCUGGUCGGUCGGGGAACCUCCAUAGAGCCGAUGAACUAUGGGCAGACAGAAUUAAAAAGCUUUCCACUUGUUUGCACCGUCACCGACGGACGUUGAAUCAUUCCAACGACGCAAAGUAAUUUUCUUAAUUACUUUAACGAUUUAUUACUCUGACUUGCGAGAACGUACAGACUGAAUUCAUUUCAACUUGAUGCGGGGCUAUUUUUUUGGUAACUGGUCCUCCAAGAAAAAGAUCAAAGGAUCGGUGACCGUGAAUGGUAUAAAAAAAAAAAAAAAAAAAAAAA